CUUGAAGUUAUAGUAGAGUAGAUUGAAGCUACAAGUUCUAUCUCUCGGAAGUUACAGUGGAGUGGAUCGAAUCAACAAGACACAGUGGAUUGCAGCAGUACCAAGAAGUCAAGACUCGGCGAGACCCGGCAAAAUUUGACUUUCCUAAAAGUCUUUACUUCAUUACCGUUGCACGACAGUGAGCAAAGAGGGGUAGCUGUAAAACCCAAAUUCUGCCCAGGCCCAUGCAGAUUAAAUAAACAAAAAAAAAACAAACAUAAACAGUCCAGUUACAACAUUAGCACAAAAAUCUAAAGCCCAAUAAGCAGAAACCCAAACCCCUUUAUAGCCCUAAACCCAUGAAAAAAAAGCAAACCCUAACAGCCUAAGCUAGCCGUCGCACGCCCUAACGGCAGCCAAGCGCGCCGCAUCGCCACGUGUG
rnacentral:lncRNA from 1 species